GGGGAUUUGGCUCAGAGGUAGAGCACUUGCCUAGCAACCGCAAGGCCCUGGGUUCAGUCCCCA
rnacentral:tRNA from 1 species